rnacentral:tRNA from 4 species
AGAAGUAUCGUACAAUGGUUAGUACACACGACCGAUAAUCGUGUAAUGUAGGUUCAAUUCCUGCUACUUCUACCA